rnacentral:sRNA from 1 species
UUCCUACCUAUGCUGAUAGCCUUCAGCCU